AACGAACGCUGGCGGCGUGCUUAACACAUGCAAGUCGAACGUGAUUGAGAGCUUGCUCUCAUGAAAGUGGCGCACGGGUGAGUAACACGUGGAUAAUCUGCCUGGCGAUCUAGGAUAACACUUCGAAAGGGGUGCUAAUACCGGAUAAGCCCACAGUCUCUUUGGAGGGUGCGGGAAAAGGGGGCCUCUGUAUAUGCUCCUGUCGCUAGAUGAGUCCGCGGCCCAUUAGCUAGUUGGUAGGGUAAUGGCCUACCAAGGCGACGAUGGGUAGCUUGUCCGAGAGGAUGAUCAGCCACACUGGAACUGAGACACGGUCCAGACUCCUACGGGAGGCAGCAGUGGGGAAUUUUGCGCAGUGGGCGAAAGCCUGACGCAGCAACGCCGCGUGAGUGAUGAAGGCCCUCGGGUCGUAAAGCUCUGUCAGUGGGGAAGAACCGCCAGGAGGCUAAUACCUGCCUGGUCUGACGGUACCCACAAAGGAAGCACCGGCUAACUCCGUGCCAGCAGCCGCGGUAAUAC
rnacentral:rRNA from 1 species